UUACAGCCAUAUCACAAAGAAACACCAGUUCUUGCAAGAUCACUGAAGUUAAGCAACAUCCAGCCUGGUUAGUACGUAGAUGGGUGACUGCUUGGGAAUACCAGGUGCU